AUUGAACGCUGGCGGCAUGCUUUACACAUGCAAGUCGAACGGUAACAGGCCGCAAGGUGCUGACGAGUGGCGAACGGGUGAGUAACGCAUCGGAACGUGCCCAGUCGUGGGGGAUAACGCAGCGAAAGCUGCGCUAAUACCGCAUACGAUCUCUGGAUGAAAGCGGGGGACCGAAAGGCCUCGCGCGAUUGGAGGGGCCGGUGUCAGAAUAGGUAGUCGGGGGGGUAAAGGCCCACAAAGCCAACGAUCUGUAGCUGGUCUGAGAGGACGACCAGCCACACUGGGACUGAGACACGGUCCAGACUCCUACGGGAGGCAGCAGUGGGGAAUUUUGGACAAUGGGCGCAAGCCUGAUCCAGCAAUGCCGCGUGCAGGAAGAAGGCCUUCGGGUUGUAAACUGCUUUUGUACGGAACGAAACGGUCCGGGUUAAUACCCUGGGCUAAUGACGGUACCGUAAGAAUAAGCACCGGCUAACUUCGUGCCAGCCGCCGCCGUAA
rnacentral:rRNA from 1 species